CAAGAUAUAGAUGAUUCUUUGACAUUUUAUGGAAUCAACUUGAGUUGGAUAUAGCUUAGGCACUUUUAAUAGAAUUGGAUCAAUGUUCUAAGUUUCAAGAACUCACCAAAACUUGCACCAAACACCAAACUCACAUGGAAGACCCAUUUCUUGCCAAUUGAACCAAUUAAAAGAUGUAAAAAUGCAAAUGAACCGAUUAAAUUGCUU
rnacentral:lncRNA from 1 species